AUUGAACGCUGGCGGCAUGCUUUACACAUGCAAGUCGAACGGUAACAGGCCUUCGGGUGCUGACGAGUGGCGAACGGGUGAGUAAUGCAUCGGAACGUACCCAGAGGUGGGGGAUAACGCAGCGAAAGCUGUGCUAAUACCGCAUGUGAUCUGAGGAUGAAAGCGGGGGACCGAGCAGCAAUGUUUGGCCUCGCGCCUUUGGAGCGGCCGAUGUCGGAUUAGCUAGUUGGUGGGGUAAAGGCCUACCAAGGCGACGAUCCGUAGCUGGUCUGAGAGGACGAUCAGCCACACUGGGACUGAGACACGGCCCAGACUCCUACGGGAGGCAGCAGUGGGGAAUUUUGGACAAUGGGCGCAAGCCUGAUCCAGUAAUGCCGCGUGCGGGAAGAAGGCCUUCGGGUUGUAAACCGCUUUUGGCAGGAACGAAACGGUGUCCGCUAAUACCGGGCGCUAAUGACGGUACCUGCAGAAUAAGCACCGGCUAACUACGUG
rnacentral:rRNA from 1 species